rnacentral:lncRNA from 1 species
GAGACUCUUCCCACCGAGACAUCGGAGCGGAGGCAAAGCAGAGGGAGCGUGGCCGAGGAAAUCCCGCCUCCAUCUGCUUCUGCCUUUACAGGGUCAGCGUCUGGCCUGCGUCACCCGGCGCCGAGGACGGAAGGUACCGUUUCUGCUGGAUUCCGUUUGCACCUGACGCAGGCGAGACUUCUUCAGGACUCUUGUAGACGGGCAGUUAUCUGUGGCGGAGAUCACUCUGGACCCUCUCUUUGCCCCCAUCAGCGAGCCUGGAACUCAGAGCCAGGUGCCCAGUGAGGACCUGUCCGAGACCCCUGUGGGGCAGGGGCGGACCCUGGCCCUCCUCGGGGCUUUCUGACGUCCUCAGGAUGGCUCGGUCAACAGCGUGUAUGUCACCCCCGUGUGGGCUGGGCGCGCGCGGGCGCGGAGAGCGGCGUGGCCGUGGGAGAAGCAGGCUCUGUCCUCUUGGAGUUUGGAGUCUAAGGACAACGCUGGACACGCAACAGGUAAUUUCGCAAAACGGAAUCGUUCCCCCCUCGCUGAGGCAGGGCUGCGGACACACCGGGCCCGGGUGCGGCAGGAGCCUGGGGAGCGUCCAGGAAGGGCCUCCAGGGCGUCCGAGGGGCAGAGGCCGCCCCGAGGCUGCGAGGCCGAGCAAGGGGGCAAGGCUCGAGGGCCCGGGGUGUCACCUGCCAGCCCCAGUACCCCCCAGGUGGGCCCGGGCGCCCUCUGGCCAGGAGCACAGCGCCGCCGGCCAUCGGGUGGACGCGCCCGGAGACCCAGGGCACCUGCUGCCCCCGGCCGCCGCCAGGCCGCACUGA